GUCUAAGGCAAUGCCUCCCUGAACAAGCCCCAUGUCUGAUCUCGAAAGCUAAGCAGAGUUGGGCCUGGUUAGUACUUGGAUGAGAGACCACCUAGGAAGACCAGUGCUGUAGGCA
rnacentral:rRNA from 1 species